rnacentral:rRNA from 1 species
UUCCCUUGRCUCUGGGAUAAGCCCGGGAAACUGGGUCUAAUACCGGAUACGACCAGUCCUCGCAUGGGGUGCUGGUGGAAAGAUUUAUCGGUCUUGGAUGGACUCGCGGCCUAUCAGCUUGUUGGUGAGGUAAUGGCUCACCAAGGCGAUGACGGGUAGCCGGCCUGAGAGGGUGACCGGCCACRCUGGGRCUGAGACACGGCCMAKACUCCUACGGGAGGCAGCAGUGGGGAAUAUUGCACAAUGGGCGAAAGCCUGAUGCAGCGACGCCGCGUGCGGGAUGACGGCCUUCGGGUUGUAAACCGCUUUCAGCAGGGAAGAAGCGARAGUGACGGUACCUGCAGAAGAAGCGCCGGCUAACUACGUGCCAGCAGCCGCGGUAAUACGUAGGGCGCGAGCGUUAUCCGGAAUUAUUGGGCGUAAAGAGCUCGUAGGCGGUUUGUCACGUCUGCUGUGAAAGCCCGAGGCUCAACCUCGGGUGUGCAGUGGGUACGGGCAGACUAGAGUGCAGUAGGGGAGACUGGAAUUUCCUGGUGUAGCGGUGAAAUGCGCAGAUAUCAGGAGGAACACCGAUGGCGAAGGCAGGUCUCUGGGCUGUUACUGACGCUGAGGAGCGAAAGCAUGGGGAGCGAACAGGAUUAGAUACCCUGGUAGUCCAUGCCGUAAACGUUGGGCACUAGGUGUGGGGGACAUUCCACGUUUUCCGCGCCGUAGCUAACGCAUUAAGUGCCCCGCCUGGGGAGUACGGCCGCAAGGYUAAAACUCAAAGGAAUUGACGGGGGCCCGCACAAGCGGCGGAGCAUGCGGAUUAAUUCGAUGCAACGCGAAGAACCUUACCAAGGCUUGACAUGGACCGGAUCGCUGCAGAGAUGCAGUUUCCCUUCGGGGUCGGUUCACAGGUGGUGCAUGGUUGUCGUCAGCUCGUGUCGUGAGAUGUUGGGUUAAGUCCCGCAACGAGCGCAACCCCUAUCCUAUGUUGCCAGCACGUCAUGGUGGGGACUCAUGGGAGACUGCCGGGGUCAACUCGGAGGAAGGUGGGGACGA